rnacentral:misc_RNA from 1 species
GUCGGUGUUGGCCUAUCCGAUGUGUCACCAUGACCAAGUUGACCAUGUCCGUUCGUUCCGCAUGUGAAAACAUGACCUUUCCUAGUGAGAAACAUAGUAAAACUGAGACCUGCAGCAACCUGCUUGACAGGAAUAUUUUUCAAUGCUUCAACCAUUCUUGGCCUGAAGAUUGGGCGUCCAGUGUCUCUAUGCCCACAACAGAAUGAUGAGUUAUCUCCACAUGUGAACACCUGUCCAGACCCUGUGACAAAAGCAGCAUGAUUAUGAGAAGCUGAAACUUGCGCAACUUGUACGGGAACAGGAAAGCUAAUUCGAGUAAAUUCCACACACUGAGUUGUUUCAGGCCCAUGACCAAGGACGCCGCAUAAACUGGAACCACAAGAGUAUGCUGCUGAAUCAUUGAUUAGCAGUGUGUGAUACCUGCCACUCCUUAUUUGCAUAUUGCCUG